GAUGAACGCUGGCGGCGUGCCUAAUACAUGCAAGUCGAACGCGAGCACUUGUGCUCGAGUGGCGAACGGGUGAGUAAUACAUAAGUAACCUGCCCUAGACAGGGGGAUAACUAUUGGAAACGAUAGCUAAGACCGCAUAGGUACGGACACUGCAUGGUGACCGUAUUAAAAGUGCCUCAAAGCACUGGUAGAGGAUGGACUUAUGGCGCAUUAGCUGGUUGGCGGGGUAACGGCCCACCAAGGCGACGAUGCGUAGCCGACCUGAGAGGGUGACCGGCCACACUGGGACUGAGAUACGGCCCAGACUCCUACGGGAGGCAGCAGUAGGGAAUUUUGCGCAAUGGGCGAAAGCCUGACGCAGCAACGCCGCGUGAGGGAUGACGGCCUUCGGGUUGUAAACCUCUGUUGAGUGGGAAAAAAGGGUAGCAAUACUUUGAUGGUACCAUUCGAGUAAGCACCGGCUAACUACGUGCCAGCAGCCGCGGUAAUACGUAGGGUGCGAGCGUUGUUCGGAAUCACUGGGCGUAAAGGGAGCGUAGGCGGGAUCGUAAGUUAGGAGUUUAAUGCAUGGGCUUAACCCAUGACCUGCUUUUAAUACUGCGAUUCUUGAGUAUGGGAGAGGGCGAUGGAAUUCCAGGUGUAGCGGUGGAAUGCGUAGAUAUCUGGAAGAACACCAGUAGCGAAGGCGGUCGCCUGGCCUAAUACUGACGCUGAGGCUCGAAAGCUAGGGGAGCAAACAGGAUUAGAUACCCUGGUAGUCCUAGCCGUAAACGAUGAAUACUCGCUGUUUGCGAUAUACAGUAAGCGGCCAAGCGAAAGCAUUAAGUAUUCCACCUGGGGAGUACGCCGGCAACGGUGAAACUCAAAGGAAUUGACGGGGGCCCGCACAAGCGGAGGAACAUGUGGUUUAAUUCGAUGAUACGCAAAGAACCUUACCCGGGCUUAAAUUGCAACAGAAUAUAUUGGAAACAGUAUAGCCGUAAGGCUGUUGUGAAGGUGCUGCAUGGUUGUCGUCAGCUCGUGCCGUGAGGUGUCGGCUUAAGUGCCAUAACGAGCGCAACCCUUAUCUUUAGUUACUAACAGGUGAUGCUGAGGACUCUAGAGAGACUGCCGUCGUAAGAUGUGAGGAAGGUGGGGAUGACGUCAAAUCAGCACGGCCCUUACGUCCAGAACUACACACGUGUUACAAUGGGGGGUACAGAAGGCAGCUACACGGCGACGUGAUGCUAAUCCCAAAAACCUCUCUCAGUUCGGAUCGAAGUCUGCAACCCGACUUCGUGAAGCUGGAUUCGCUAGUAAUCGCGCAUCAGCCAUGGCGCGGUGAAUACGUUCCCGGGCCUUGUACACACCGCCCGUCAAGCCAUGAAAGCCGGGGGUACCUGAAGUACGUAACCGCAAGGAGCGUCCUAGGGUAAAACUGGUAAUUGGGGCUAAGUCGUAACA
rnacentral:rRNA from 1 species